rnacentral:sRNA from 1 species
CCCGAAGGCGGGUUUUCGUUAUUUCCAUAUCUAU